UAGUCUUGUUCUGACAUUAUAUCCUUUAGGAGACGACUAUUGAAGAGCUAAAACAACAGUUUAUCAAGAAACAGGAUGCUAAAGGAUUCAUUGUGGAUGGAUUCCCCAGAGAGAUCUCACAGACGUUCACCUUUGAGGAGCAGAUUGGCUCUCCAGACUUGGUGAUCUUGCUUGCCUGCUCUAAUCAGCAACUCCGGCAGCGUUUAGAGAAAAGAGCAUCCCAGCAGGGCCGCCCCGAUGACAAUACUCGUGCAAUUGAGAAGAGACUAGAUACCUUCAAACACAAUAUCACACUCAUAGCCAAGUACUACCAGGAGAGAGGACUUAUUGUAAGGGUCGAUGCGGAUCGAGAAGAAGACGAUAUUUUCACAGAUAUUUGUGCCAUUGUAGAGGAAAGAUUGUUCCCUAGUGACACGAAUACAAGCAGUACUGAGGAUCUUUAGAGGGACGUCUACACAUCUAAACCCACAGUUGCUCCUAUUAAUCCUAAAUGUAAUUUAAACAUUUUCCACUAUAUUUCAUCAAUUAUCUCGAGGGUCAGGAUCAGUGAAAAGGGACACUUACACUUAUUUUGUUGCCUCUAUUUGUACUUCACUGUGAAUUUUCUCCGUACAUCUUUUGCAGUAAUGCCUUUAAAGCAGAGACCUUUGUUGUUUUGACCUGAUUUUAUUAAUGUAUAUUUAGAGGUCAAGCCAGAAAUAAAGAGUUGAUAAAAAAUGCACCAAAGUAAAAUUCAGUAUCAAUGUCAAAUGCAACAACAUCAACUGUUUUCAAACAAAUUACCUCACCUAUUUGUACUACAACAAGCAUUAAAAUGGAUUAAAUUACAACUGAUUAAUACAGUGUUUCUGCUGUUCUGAGGACAUGGUUUCAUCUUACACCACAUUAUGAACGCACUGGAUAAAAAAAAUAAUAGAGAUGCAACAAACAUGUCCUCAGGCUGUGUUCUCAUUAAUAGAUGUUCAAUCCAGCUGUGCCACAAUCUCACAGUGGGACCUCUGUGAAUAUAGACAUUCUGCCCUUGUUGGCAGACCUUGACCAAGUGCCAAAACGCUGUCACUUUAAAUACAGAGGAGAAUAGAAACAUGCUUAUUGAAAGAUGAUUCAUAGUAGACUAACAAGUGGUAAAGUUAAGUAUCAUUUAAUAGCGAUACAAUCUCUACACUCACUUUGCUAUGUAGAUGGACAUUUCUGGCUAAAAAAAUGAAACAACAUUUAAGCCACUAGAUGGCAGACUUUUAUUCUUUAAAAAUCAUUUGUUCAUUUAUCCUCACUGGUUGGAAAGUUAUGUCAUAGCCAUUUACAAAAAUACUUUCUUAUUCCAUUUUAACAAAUUAAUAUUUUGAAUUUUUAAGUUUUGUAAAAUUGAUUAAUAAAGAAAAAAUGUUUCUUUAAAAAAAUGUUUGGAAAAAAGUUUGCUUUGAGUACGCUUUAAACUAGACUUAAAGUUGUAUCUUUAGUGUGCUUAAAAUACUGUGUUAUGAACAGCAUCACUGUGACGGAGUGAUGGUAUGUGCUGGCUCUCAGAAUAGAUUCAAGCUUAUCACCUGUCUGGCAAAUUUCUUGCAGCUCUUAGUGGCAUGAGUUGGAGAUUCUUCCAUGCUCAAAUAUAUGCUUAAGGUUUGAAAUGUACAACUUUGAAUUAUGCAUCACAUAUGACAUAAAUGCACUUUGUUUUGAAUGUUGUUCUUCGUGUUACAUAGCCAGAACAGAAUUAUAUCAAUGAACACUAAAACCUUUACAUGUUUCUCUACUCUCAAAUUUCUUGAACUUCUCCUCUAGAAUGGGGAUAAGACUACAAUGCUCCUUUAAAAUAGAGUUUUUAUUUGUUUGUUUUUAAAAUGUUUGUAUUGUGCACACUAUCUUGGAAGAAUAGAAGAUAUUUUGAGAGAUGUCGAACUGCUUUUAUUCCAUACAAUUGAUGUCAAUGAUCAGACCAAAACUGUUUGAUUACCCAGUUAGUUCACCCACAAAUGAAAACUAUGUUAUCAUUUAAUAGGUUGGAUAGCUUUUAAGUUGGUGUUACCUGGAAAAACUUGACAUUCACCCUGUCUUUGGCAUGAUUGUGAAAGAAGAAGCAAAAAAUAAUUUUUAGACUAAUCUUUUUGGUUGAUCUAGUUAAAGGGAUAUUUUAAAUGUUUAAAAUAUUUAA